GGGGGUGUGGUUUAGUGGUAUAAUUCCUCUUUAGCACUGGUCACCCGACCACGCAUAGAGGCGGUCCGGCGUUCGAUUCGCCGCUCCUCCA
rnacentral:tRNA from 1 species